GCGCCCGUAGCUCAGCUGGAUAGAGCGCCUGACUUCGAAUCAGUAGGCCGGGGGUUCGAGUCCCUCCGGGCGCACCA
rnacentral:tRNA from 1 species